GGAUUUCUCAAACAUGCAUGAAAGACUCAAAACAACACUCCAGGAAGCUCCUUUGGUGGAGUUUGGUGGGUGCAGGUCAGCGCCUGUAGGAAUCAGAGGCUUCUGGGUGAACUCAUCCUCCUCGGUGGUCUGUGUGCGCACGCAAACCUGAGCAGCUGCAAAACUCUGAUGGUUUAAAACCUCCUUCUCAUGACGUCUGCACAAAUAAAC